rnacentral:lncRNA from 1 species
GUAGUCUCUUAACGGCUCCCGGCUCUCUGGUCGCCUGGCUGCAGGACUACAAUUCCAGCAGGCACCGGGCUCAGUGGGAGGGGCAGGGUGGUGUGGACCUGGCAAAGCAGUGCUGCCCGCUCACCCCCUGCUGCCCUGUCUCCAUGGGGAGUGAGUUUGGAGAGAGAUAUAAGGGAUAAAUCUGGGCUUUUGCCCAAAUCUGGCAGGUCCUACCUCCGGCUGAGCAGCUCUUCCUCUCUUUAUCCUUAUCCGCUGGUUUUUCCAUGGCAUCGCGCCUCCUUCAGCCCAUGGAGCCGCCUGCUUUCCUAAACUACUACAGAAACUGGCCUGAUGGCUGUCUGAGACAUUGUACAUUGUGCCACCGGCCUCUGCUUACUCCAGGCAGAGCGCCAGUUCAGCAGCAUUUGGGAGAAAUUUGCUGCCUGGGCCGCCCGUAAACAACUUGAGCUUUGCAGUGGGUAACAUGGGCUGUGGUUUGGUGAAAAUGUCAACCUCACUGACCCCUUUUUCGUGGAAGUAGAAGUCGAGACAUGAGGGAGAGUAAUUAUUGGCUUACCCGGGAUCUGCUAAAAGCAGAGGAGAAAGCCCCAGUGUUUCCAGGCAUGUGUCUGGGUGGGCCAUUUUUACCAACCCAUUUAAGGGGCUAGGCCUCCAAAAAUCAACCUAAAGGUAAUGAUUGUUUUGAUAUUUUACACAUGUGAUCAUGGCUUCAUCUCACCUUAGACCUGACUGGCCAGUGUCUCAAAGACAUAGAUGGUGACCAGCUCUCUCUGGAACAGAUGGCACUCCAGCUUUGUGGGAGCAACUUUCAAGGACCUGUCUACAAGCAACAUUGUAACAUAUUUCUGAGCCCAUCACAUGGAUAAUGUGACCCUUCUCUUUUUGUCCUGCCCCAAGUGAAGAUUGUGACAUGUCACCAGGCCCUUUGUCUAGGCAAUAUGACUCUUCUCUCCUGUCUGGGCCCUGAUUACAAGGGGGAUUGUGACAAUCACUGGGCCCAUCAUGUAGAUAAUAAGAGUUUCUCUUCCUGCCUGGGCCUUUUCUACAGAAAAGAUUAAGACAUCACUGGGCCAAGCACCCACAUGAUGUCACUCGCCUGCCUGCAUUCUGCCUACAGUGGGUAUUGUGACAUAUCCCUGGCACAGAACCAAGGUAACGUGACUCACCUACCUGGUUCCUGCCCACUGAUGGGAUUGUGACAUAUACCUAGGUCCAGCUCACAGGCAUGAUGAUAACUGUCAUACGUGGACCCAGCCAAUAAGAGAUUUUUGCUCUUAGGCUUAUUACAACAGGUAUGCUUCUGGGUAUUCUACAUAUAGAGAGGUCACGGACUAUUAGGACGCUCAUGCAUAUUUUAUAAAGACCUUGGGUGGUACACAGAUGUUGUCACAGGCCAGUGCACAUGUGAAAUUGUGACUCCCCUAGGCAUACCCAGCCAAUCAUUAAGAUUUUCACCCUCAAUGCAUGCAUACAGCCCACUCUUGAGGUUCUCAAUCUCACACCUGGUAGCAGUCAAAAUUUGGAAUUGUGACUCUCAUAUGGGGAUUUGAUUGACAGGUAAAAUUAUAACUCUUUUUUUUUUUUUUUUUUUUUUUUUUUUUGAGACAGAGUCUCGCUCUGUCACUCAGGCUGGAGUGCAGUGGCAUGAUCUCAGCCCGCUGCAACCUUCGCCUUCCAGGUUCAAGCAGUUCUCCUGCCUCAGCUCUUGGACAAAACUUCAGCACUCCUGCUAGGGUGUGUCUGCCCUACUAAGACACUGUGCGCAGGUGGAGUUGAGGCUCUUAUGUAUGGAUCCUGUCCACUGUUGAGAUUGUGAAUUGCAUGUGUAGACUCAACUCACAGGAGGUGUUGACUCACAAACCUCCAGCUGGGACAUGUGCAGGAUUAGAAAUUUUAUUUCUGGAUCUUUCUUCAGAAGGCGUUGUAACAUCUCACUAAGCCCAGCACUCAGGCGAUGUGGCUUUCCUGCUAUGGCACUGCACACAAGAAGAAUGUUGACAUAUUCCUGGCCCAGAAUUCAGGUUGUAUUGUGCCAUAUACCUGGGACCAAAUUACAAGCACAAUGAUGAAUCUUUUACCUGGAGUCAAGACAUGGGCAGGAUGAUGGAACUUAUCACUGGACCUUUCCACAGUGUUAUUGUGACAUAUGCCUUUGCCCAACAUGUGGUGAUUUGACUCCCCAGACUGGGUCCAGUUCACAAAUAAAAUUGUGCCGUAUACUUGGCCAAGAACCUAAUAGGUGUAAUUGAUGUGCCUGGG